rnacentral:rRNA from 1 species
CCUACGGGAGGCGGCAGUGAGGAAUAUUGGUCAAUGGCCGGAAGGCUGAACCAGCCAAGCCGCGUGAAGGACGAAGGUGCCAAGCAUUGUAAACUUCUUUUGUCAAGGGACAAAAUCAGGCUCGAGAGCCUGACCGAGGGUACUUGAAGAAAAAGCAUCGGCUAACUCCGUGCAAGCAGCCGCGGUACUACGGAGGAUGCGAGCGUUAUCCGGAUUUAUUGGGUUUAAAGGGUGCGUAGGCGGACUGUUAAGUCAGCGGUAAAAGCCCGGGGCUCAACCCCGGCGAGCCGUUGAUACUGGCAGGCUUGAGGACAGUAGAGGUGGGCGGAAUUCGUGGUGUAGCGGUGAAAUGCUUAGAUAUCACGAAGAACUCCGAUUGCGAAGGCAGCUCACUGGACUGCAACUGACACUGAGGCUCGAAAGUGUGGGUAUCAAACAGGAUUAGAUACCCGGGUAGUC